GGAGAGAUGGCUGAGUGGCUGAAAGCACCGCACUCGAAAUGCGGCGUGCAGGAAACUGUACCGUGGGUUCGAAUCCCACCCUCUCCACCA
rnacentral:tRNA from 1 species